AUUGGAUUGUCUUUUAGGCACAGUGGUCAAUGACGAAAUUCCCACAACAAUGCCAACAGCUACAAUUACAGGCACAGUGGUCAAUGACGAAAUUCCCACAACAAUGCCAACAGCUACAAUUACAGGCACAGUGGUCAAUGACGAAAUUCCCACAACAAUGCCAACAGCUACAAUUACAGGCACAGUGGUCAAUGACGAAAUUCCCACAACAAUGCCAAGAGCUACAAUUACAGG